rnacentral:rRNA from 1 species
UUCUCUUUUUCCACCCCCCACCUCCACCCCCCUCUAAUGAGUUUUGUGUUUCUGCUCAGGACGAACGCUGGCGGCGUGCUAAUACAUGCAAGUCGAGCGGACAGAUGGGAGCUUGCUCCCUGAUGUUAGCGGCGGACGGGUGAGUAACACGUGGGUAACCUGCCUGUAAGACUGGGAUAACUCCGGGAAACCGGGGCUAAUACCGGAUGCUUGUUUGAACCGCAUGGUUCAGACAUAAAAGGUGGCUUCGGCUACCACUUACAGAUGGACCCGCGGCGCAUUAGCUAGUUGGUGAGGUAACGGCUCACCAAGGCGACGAUGCGUAGCCGACCUGAGAGGGUGAUCGGCCACACUGGGACUGAGACACGGCCCAGACUCCUACGGGAGGCAGCAGUAGGGAAUCUUCCGCAAUGGACGAAAGUCUGACGGAGCAACGCCGCGUGAGUGAUGAAGGUUUUCGGAUCGUAAAGCUCUGUUGUUAGGGAAGAACAAGUGCCGUUCAAAUAGGGCGGCACCUUGACGGUACCUAACCAGAAAGCCACGGCUAACUACGUGCCAGCAGCCGCGGUAAUACGUAGGUGGCAAGCGUUGUCCGGAAUUAUUGGGCGUAAAGGGCUCGCAGGCGGUUUCUUAAGUCUGAUGUGAAAGCCCCCGGCUCAACCGGGGAGGGUCAUUGGAAACUGGGGAACUUGAGUGCAGAAGAGGAGAGUGGAAUUCCACGUGUAGCGGUGAAAUGCGUAGAGAUGUGGAGGAACACCAGUGGCGAAGGCGACUCUCUGGUCUGUAACUGACGCUGAGGAGCGAAAGCGUGGGGAGCGAACAGGAUUAGAUACCCUGGUAGUCCACGCCGUAAACGAUGAGUGCUAAGUGUUAGGGGGUUUCCGCCCCUUAGUGCUGCAGGUAACGCAUAAGCACUCCGCCUGAGAUAACGGGCGUGGAAG